rnacentral:ncRNA from 10 species
UGAUAUGUUUGAUAUUGGGUU